UUCCAUCUUCUCUCUUUCUCUCUCUCUAGGGUUUUUCUCUCUCUAGAGAAAAGCCGCCGAUUCGCGCCGUUUUCGCGCCGCGUUCGUUGCUCGCUGAUAGGAGGACUCAAGGGAAGCCUUUGGCAUGUGGGGAGAAGGAGUUUUGCUGUGUUUCUUGUGAGGUUAUCACCAGGAAAGGCUGAAUCACAGCUUUAGAGAGCAGGUUCUCGAACCAUUUGGAGUUAAUUGGAUGACCUUGGGGACUGUCUCGAAGUGUUCUACAAGUGUUCUAACCUGAGUUCGCAGUGGGCUUGCAACGGACCUUCGGAUUACCUCCGGCUGAUAUGUGAGGGAUUUUGGAAACUUAACUUGAGGCUUGAGACCGAGUGGGGCUGAUCCUUGGGAUUCCUUUGGACUGAUUUGAGCUUAGUGCGAG